rnacentral:rRNA from 1 species
AGAGUUUGAUCAUGGCUCAGAUUGAACGCUGGCGGCGUGCCUAACACAUGCAAGUCGAGCGGUAACAGGUGUAGCAAUACAUGCUGACGAGCGGCGAACGGGUGAGUAAUGCUUCGGAAUCUACCCAAUGGUGGGGAAUAACCAGCCGAAAGGUUGGCUAAUACCGCAUACGUCCUACGGGAGAAAGCAGGGGAUCGUAAGACCUUGCGCCAAUGGAUGAGCCGAAGUCGGAUUAGCUAGUUGGUAGGGUAACGGCCUACCAAGGCGACGAUCCGUAGCUGGUCUGAGAGGAUGAUCAGUCACACUGGAACUGAGACACGGUCCAGACUCCUACGGGAGGCAGCAGUGGGGAAUAUUGGUCAAUGGGCGAAAGCCUGAUCCAGCCAUGCCGCGUGUGUGAAGAAGGUCUUCGGAUUGUAAAGCACUUUAAGUUGGGAGGAAGGGUUGUAACCUAAUACGUUGCAAUUUUGACAUUACCGACAGAAUAAGCACCGGCUAACUUCGUGCCAGCAGCCGCGGUAAUAC